rnacentral:snoRNA from 1 species
AUCCGUUUGUAACUCAUAAGUGUGAUGAUUGGGUGUUCACGCUCUUGUGUGAGAUGUGCCUCCCUCAAACCUUGUUACGACAUCGGCACAUUACCCAUUUGACG